GAUGAACGCUGGCGGCGUGCCUAAUACAUGCAAGUCGAGCGAACGGACGAGAAGCUUGCUUCUCUGAUGUUAGCGGCGGACGGGUGAGUAACACGUGGAUACCCUACCUAUAAGACUGGGAUAACUUCGGGAAACCGGAGCUAAUACCGGAUAAUAUUUUGAACCGCAUGGUUCAAAAGUGAAAGACGGUUUUGCUGUCACUUAUAGAUGGAUCCGCGCUGCAUUAGCUAGUUGGUAAGGUAACGGCUUACCAAGGCAACGAUGCAUAGCCGACCUGAGAGGGUGAUCGGCCACACUGGAACUGAGACACGGUCCAGACUCCUACGGGAGGCAGCAGUAGGGAAUCUUCCGCAAUGGGCGAAAGCCUGACGGAGCAACGCCGCGUGAGUGAUGAAGGUCUUCGGAUCGUAAAACUCUGUUAUUAGGGAAGAACAUAUGUGUAAGUAACUGUGCACGUCUUGACGGUACCUAAUCAGAAAGCCACGGCUAACUACGUG
rnacentral:rRNA from 1 species